rnacentral:rRNA from 1 species
UACGGAGGAGGCAAGCGUUAUCCGGAAUUAUUGGGCGUAAAGCGUCCGUAGGUGGUUCACCAAGUCUGCUGUCAAAGGGUGGGGCUUAACCUCAUAAAGGCAGUGGAAACUGGUGAGCCAGAGUGCGGUAGGGGUAAGGGGAAUUCCCAGUGUAGCGGUGAGAUGCGUAGAGAUUGGGAAGAACAUCGGUGGCGAAAGCGCCUUACUGGGCCUGCACUGACACUGAGGGACGAAAGCUAGGGGAGCGAAAGGG